GUGUUUGCUAGCUUCAGCAGCACAUAUACUAAAAUUGGAACGAUACAGAGAAGAUUAGCAUGGCCCCUGCACAAGGUUGGCUAGGCAUUUUUAAGUCAAGUAGUUCAGGAUG